rnacentral:rRNA from 1 species
UACGAGGGGGGCAAAUGUUGUUCGGAAUCACUGGGCGUAAAGGGAGCGUAGGCGGGCUUCUAAGUUAGAUGUUUAAUCCCGGGGCCCAACCCCGGACAGGCACCUAAAACUGGAAGUCUUGAAUAGUGGAGAGGACGGCGGAAUUGGGGGUGUAGCGGUGGAAUGCGUAGAGAUCCCCAAGAACACCAGUUGCGAAGGCGGCCGUCUGGACACAUAUUGACGCUGAGGCUCGAAAGCGUGGGGAGCAAACAGG